rnacentral:lncRNA from 1 species
GGGUAAAGAUGCAUGUUUAGGUUAGUUGUAAAUGUUAGGGUUUAUGUGAGUUAAUGAUGAAAUGUAUGUUUAUUGUUGUUAUAAUGUAAUGUUGUUGGGGUAUAGGCUAGUUUUAAGCCCCUAAAUGCUUAAGAGUGUGUUUAUGCAUAUUUUUGCAUGGUUUGGUUUGAGUUUGGAGGUUUUGGGAGGCUGAUUGUGCAUGAGAGGCUGAGUUCUGCCAUUCUGGAAUAACUCAGGUUCGGCA